GAUGAACGCUGGCGGCGUGCUUAAUACAUGCCAGUCGAGCGAACAGACGAGGAGCUUGCUCCUCUGACGUUAGCGGCGGACGGGUGAGUAACACGUGGAUAACCUACCUAUAAGACUGGGAUAACUUCGGGAAACCGGAGCUAAUACCGGAUAAUAUAUUGAACCGCAUGGUUCAAUAGUGAAAGACGGUUUUGCUGUCACUUAUAGAUGGAUCCGCGCCGCAUUAGCUAGUUGGUAAGGUAACGGCUUACCAAGGCAACGAUGCGUAGCCGACCUGAGAGGGUGAUCGGCCACACUGGAACUGAGACACGGUCCAGACUCCUACGGGAGGCAGCAGUAGGGAAUCUUCCGCAAUGGGCGAAAGCCUGACGGAGCAACGCCGCGUGAGUGAUGAAGGUCUUCGGAUCGUAAAACUCUGUUAUUAGGGAAGAACAAAUGUGUAAGUAACUAUGCACGUCUUGACGGUACCUAAUCAGAAAGCCACGGCUAACUACGUG
rnacentral:rRNA from 1 species